rnacentral:rRNA from 1 species
CCCUUAGAUGUUCUGGGCCGCACGCGCGCUACACUGACGAAUGCAACGAGCUUAUAACCUUGGCCGAAAGGUCUGGGUAAUCUCCAAAUUUCGUCGUGAUGGGGAUAGAUUAUUGCAAUUAUUAAUCUUCAACGAGGAAUGCCUAGUAAACGCAGAUCAUCAAUCUGCAUUGAUUACGUCCCUGCCCUUUGUACACACCGCCCGUCGCACCUACCGAUUGGAUGGUCCGGUGAGGCCUCGGGAUUGUGGCCGGUGCAUUCAUUUGUGUCGGUUGCGAGAACUUGUCCAAACCUUAUCAUCUAGAGGAAGGUGAAGUCGUAACA